GUCCCCUCACGCAGCCCCGGCGCGCAGAGCACAGGCCCAGCCCAGCCUCCCCUGGCUGCAGUUCCGGGCACGGCCAGCGGGGGCGCUGCUGGCUCCCGGCCGGCAGGGGGCGCGGCUUCCCCGCGCCUGCAGGGGGCGCUGUGGCGCAGCCCGGCCGCGUCUCCCUCACGCGCUAAUGGCGGGCGGGCCGGCGGAUGAGAUGGGAAAGCGGCUUCCUCUGCAAACUCACAGCAUGCAUGCAGUUGGUCUUUGCGCCCCUCUGGAUGGCGAAAGGAGCUGCAGCAGGAACCUCAGAAGAAGCAAGAUGGAAUGGCAGAGUACUUCUGUGUUACCAUCAGCACUCAGUUAUCAGAGAGCAACAGACAGAUUCUUCUGAUCUGAAGAUCCCAUAUGCUGGUAUGAUUCAUUUUCGAGGUUUUGAUCCCAUGAUAAGAAUGAAAUGCUACAUUAAAAUUGUAUUUAUAUAUGUGUA